rnacentral:rRNA from 1 species
GACAGAGGGUGCAAACGUUGUUCGGAAUUACUGGGCGUAAAGCGCGUGUAGGCGGCUAUGUAAGUCGGGCGUGAAAUCCCACGGCUCAACCGUGGAAGUGCACCCGAAACUGCGUAGCUAGAGUCCUGGAGAGGAAGGUGGAAUGCUUGGUGUAGAGGUGAAAUUCGUAGAUAUCAAGCGGAACACCGGUGGCGAAGGCGGCCUUCUGGACCGGACACUGACGCUGAGGAGCGAAAGCCAGGGGAGCAAACGGG